GCCCUCGUCGUCUAGUGGCCUAGGACAUUUCUUUUUCACGGAAAUAACAAGGAUUCGAUAUCCUUCGAGGGUA
rnacentral:tRNA from 1 species